rnacentral:rRNA from 1 species
AGUUCAGAUUGCAGGCUGCAACUCGCCUGCAUGAAGGUGGAAUUGCUAGUAAUCGCGAAUCAGAAUGUCGCGGUGAAUACGUUCCCGGGCCUUGUACACACCGCCCGUCAAGCCAUGGGAGCCGGGGGCGCCUGAAGUCCGGGACCGCGAGGACCGGCCUAGGGCGAAACUGGUAACUGGGGCUAAGUCGUAACAAGGUACC